rnacentral:rRNA from 1 species
GACGAACGCUGGCGGCGUGCUUAACACAUGCAAGUCGAACGGAAAGGCCCUGCUUUUGUGGGGUGCUCGAGUGGCGAACGGGUGAGUAACACGUGAGUAACCUGCCCUUGACUUUGGGAUAACUUCAGGAAACUGGGGCUAAUACCGGAUAGGAGCUCCUGCUGCAUGGUGGGGGUUGGAAAGUUUCGGCGGUUGGGGAUGGACUCGCGGCUUAUCAGCUUGUGGGUGGGGUAGGGGCUUACCAAGGCUUUGACGGGUAGCCGGCCUGAGGGGGUGACCGGCCACAUUGGGACUGAGAUGCGGCCCAGACUCCUACGGGAGGCAGCAGUGGGGAAUAUUGCACAAUGGGCGGAAGCCUGAUGCAGCAACGCCGCGUGCGGGAUGACGGCCUUCGGGUUGUAAACCGCUUUCGCCUGUGACGAAGCGUGAGUGACGGUAAUGGGUAAAGAAGCACCGGCUAACUACGUG